AAAUGGAGAGGGCCAUAACCAGUAAGACCUCUCUUCGAUAACUGUCUUGCUAUCCCGUCAUUUUACUGAAGCCUCGACUUCAAAAAGGGGCAGCCACAUGUGAACAGACUUCUCCAAGACCGACCAUACAAGUACAAUGACCGGAGAGAACGCAGUCAUCUUGUUGGGAUAUGAUCCAGGGAGGUAGUAGUGGACCGGUAAGACCUCUGAGAAUGUCUUGCUCGAGCCACCAUUACACACUGAGUACCGAUCACCCGUUGCCGUACAUCUUGAAUCAACUCACUUACAAAGUCAUUGUAGGCUUGAAGAGACUUGUAAGCCUUUAGUUCAUCAAGGGUAUGUGCGCUCACAGAAUUCAUGAAAUAAUUAACGAUAUCGGAUAUGUAACGUCAGGGUAGCCUUCCACAUUGUCACUCCAGUUGCUUGCUUGAAAUUCAUAUGGAUCUUUCCCGCCGAUAUCCUUCAAUUUCUCCAAGUAUAUGGCUCUGCUUAAAGCAUCAAACAUGUUUUUGUCCACUACAUUUGCUUUAAACGAUGUCAUAACUUUUAAACCAAACGGAAAAAUUAACGAUAGAAAAAAACUUAACGCUUCACCAUUCACCUAUGGUCUCUGAACUCUUAAGACACACAGUAUGGCAUCCGUCGCAAGGCAUGAUGGGUAAUCGGAAACCUAUCCAUACGGCACCAAUUUGGGUACUAAGAUGUACUAAGAUAAGACUUGUUAAAUUUCUAUAAGUCCUCACAGCUCUUGUCGUACAAGUUAUGAAGUUACUCACGUUUGAUGUUUCUUCAACAUCCACAAAUUGAUCACAAACGCGUCUCGCUGUUAGCAAGUUAAGCUAAGGAGUACUCGGCUGAUAAGCAAGUUUAAGUUGACAUUUCCACUCGCCCAACUUCUUAUGAGUACUCACUAGCCUCGUUGUAUACGAUACGUAUAUUUUGCAGGACGUGUAGAUACUAGUGUUUGAUGUUUUCCUCUUCAGUAAAUAUAACAAAACAGACCAGUUUUUGUUGUUAGCGGUCUAAGCUAGGCUAACUUUUACUAAGCAGUGAACAAUAUGGCUCCAAUUUGGGUACUGAGAUUGCACAGAUGAUGACUUUAGCACUGAAGUCAUCGCCAGGAGCGUCCCACGUCGAGUAUUCACAACAUUCAGUCCAAAGUCAGCAGGGUUUAUUGAAUUACGUUUGGGCUGGUCAGAGCUUUCUGUUUAAGCUGCUACCAGUUUGAAGACCGGAAGCAACUCCAAUAUAACUACUAAUAAUUAUUAUUAUUAACAUAUGUUAAGUAUUACAUUUUAAAAUAUUUAUUUCGUGUUCCUCACCAUCCCCUCACCAACCCUAUAAUUGCACCGUUGACCUCUUGCUGGGACCCCCUUUCCCCUACAACCUUCUCUUUAAUCUCUCCCAUUCCAAAAAAGAUUCUAUGGGAAAUUAUAUACGUGACUCCCUGGCUUCUGGACUCAUCCAGCCCACUUAUUUUUGCAUGGCAGAGCUGCCAUUUUCUUCGUGGAAAAAAAGAUACUACUCUGUACCACUGCAUUGAUUUUGAGGACUCAAUGAUAUCACAGUAAUAAACAAAGCAUCGCUGCCCCUUAUUAACCCCUAUUUUGAACCCCUAUGUGAUGCCCAGAUUUUCACGAAAUUGUAUCUAUGCAAUGCAUAUCAUCUCAUCCACCUUAGAGAGUUAUGAAUGGAAAUGGCUUUAAAUACCCUACGUGGACACUUUGAAUAUGUGGUCAUGGUGUUUGGAUUAACCUAUGCCCCUGCUGUUUUUCAAACCUUUAUUAAUGAUGUCCUUUGUGACAUGCUGAACUGCUUUGUUUUCAUCUAUUAAGAAAGGCUUGGUGGCGUGGAGUGAAAGUGCCCUUUCAAAUCUGCAGUAAAAGCUAUUGAGGUCGUCGGCUAGUCAGCUAUUGCUUUCUACUAGGAGGGAGCAUCACUUGUAAUUAGUGAGCGAUUGCAAUCCAUGCCAGACUGAUUUGGAAUCAUGCGCGCCAAGCUGUUUUUCCAUAUUCAUCUUCCUUCUAUGCCUGUCUUCACAAAGAUCUUCAACAGGUCUCAGGAACUGUGAGUACCAACCUCUACCAUCAUAACAGGCACAAAAAAGCAGCAGUCUCGGGUCUUAAUGACUACAGGCCAGUUGCCUUGGCAGCUGUGGUCAUGAAGUCCUUUGAACGAUCUUGUGCUGGACAACCUCAAGAGCAUUACACUUCCCCAGCUGGAUCCACUGUAGUUUGCCUCUUGAGCUAACAGGUCUACGGAUGAUGCCGUCUACAUGGGUCUGCACUUCAUCCUUCAACAUCUCGACAGAAAGGCAACCUAUCAGAGGAUCCUGUUUGUGGACUUCAGUUCUGCGUUUUCUACCAUCAUCCCCAAGCUCCUCUCCUCCAAACGUCUCCAGCUCAGCAUCUCACCUGUUAUCUCCAAUUGGAUCUAAAACUUCCUGACGGGCAGGACACAGAAGCAUACAUUACCACCAAAGGACAUUACAACCAGACCAAGCAAAGAUCCAAGCAGUCAUCAAAUGGCCCAUUUCCUCCACCCACAAGGAGCUUCGUUUCCCAAGUUUUGCCAAUUUCUAUUGACGUUUCAUCUGUGACUAUAUUAAGAUUGCCGUCCCUCUCACCAGUCUCACCCCCACCAGCUCACCUUUCCAUUGGACCCCUACCACAUUACGAACAUUCAAACGUCUCAAGGCGGAGGCAGCUUGGGUAGGCGUUACCGAUCAGUGCAAACUAAAACGCGGAGCCAUUACAAGAGCUGCUUCCCUCUUGCCAUUAAAUUCAUUAACAGCUAACUUACAAUUCCAUUGCAACAUGCUUCCAAUUUUUGUCUUAAAUUUGUUGUCACAUUUCUGUCGACCCAACUAUACUGUACAUUACACGUGCUUUUGUUUACAAACACUGGCUGCUCAUGUCCCUGAGUAGGAUCUGGCACCACUUGCAUGACUGAGGAGUAUCUGCAACAGUUGCACAGUCGAGAUUGUCCCAGAUUAUCGCAAUAAUAGUCAUUUUAAACUGCAUGCAUUUCCUGAAGUCUCUGCACCCUUUGCACAAUUGUUAUUGCACCAGAUUAUUGCUUUGUUAGUCUUUCCAUUUGCUCUAUUUGUUAGAGGACUCUUCAUCUCCUUUGCACAAUUGUCAAAAAAUAAAUAAAUAACUUGUACAAACA